rnacentral:tRNA from 1 species
CUGCCCUUUUUUCUGUACAUGCCCGAAGCGGCCUUCUAAGCCGUAGGUCACAGGUUCGACCCCCUGUCGGGCAGGCCA